rnacentral:tRNA from 1 species
AAUAAAAUGGCUGAGUUUUAAGCAAUAAAUUGUAAAUUUAUUUACGAAAUAUAAUUUUCUUUUAUUA